CUUAGUUGAGUUGAGUUGAGUAAUUAACUUGGCUUGCUUAUCAGAGUCAGAGGAAUAGAACACAUUUGUCUCAAGUUGUUGUCAAAAUGGGCAUGGGGGAAAUUUUUAUGUAAAAGCAUUUGUCUUUAAUUUAAUGAUUCUUACCUAAUAUUAAACUUGCAUGUUAAAACAUGUAUUGUGUGACACCAUUUUCAUUUGCAUAAUUAUAAAUGAUUUAAGGUCAGAUGGUGGAUGCCAUGUGUUUUGAGCAAGUUCAUAAACUUUGUAGUUGCCCAAUGAGGGACAAAAGCAAUUGAGCUUAAAGAAGUUCUGAUCACAUCGCUCUCUGGAAGAUACUAUGCAUGUCUCUCUUUAAUAGAUUUAUUUGCUAAAAUAAUAAAAUUGGUGUGCAACUGUCUUGUCAUGGCAUUUUAGGAUUUGAAAGAUUUGGUAGCCAAUAUUGGUUUUUGAGGUUUGUGAUUUUAACAGUGAGAUAUUUUUCUUUCCUUGCAGGAGAUUAUUAAAG
rnacentral:misc_RNA from 1 species